rnacentral:rRNA from 1 species
GUGGGGAAUAUUGGACAAUGGGCGAAAGCCUGAUCCAGCCAUGCCGCGUGUGUGAAGAAGGUCUUCGGAUUGUAAAGCACUUUAAGUUGGGAGGAAGGGCAGUAAGUUAAUACCUUGCUGUUUUGACGUUACCGACAGAAUAAGCACCGGCUAACUUCGUGCCAGCAGCCGCGGUAAUACGAAGGGUGCAAGCAUUAAUCGGAAUUACUGGGCGUAAAGCGCGCGUAGGUGGUUUUGUAAGUUGGAGGUGAAAUCCCCGGGCUCAACCUGGGAACUGCCUCCAAAACUGCAUGACUAGAGUACGGUAGAGGGUAGUGGAAUUUCCUGUGUAGCGGUGAAAUGCGUAGAUAUAGGAAGGAACACCAGUGGCGAAGGCGACUACCUGGACUGAUACUGACACUGAGGUGCGAAAGCGUGGGGAGCAAACAGGAUUAGAUACCCCGGUAGUCC